rnacentral:sRNA from 1 species
CUCCUGUUUCACAAUAUUCUGGAUUUAUUUCCGUUACACAUUUUCGAAGUUCAACAGAAAACCCAUGAUUAAAAUGAAUUUCUUCCUGUACACACGGAAAAUCAAGUCAAAUAAGGAGGAGAAGGGGAAAGGAAGACGCAGAUAAACAAGAAACAAAAGGCAAUAAAUGAAGGCCUCGAAAUUUCCAGAAAUUGUAUUGGGAAAACAACAAUAACAGCAACGAAAAGCACUCGAACCAAACAAAAGAAAUUGCGCUAUUAACGCAAAACUAACAAUAAUUUAACCAUAAUGUUAUUGUGCAAGUGUGCGGCGUUUCGCUGUUUUACCAACUUAUUGAUUUCCCUUUUGGGUGACAAAUGCACGUAGUUCCGCAGAGGAAGAAGAAGCACACUGGACAGGAGGAAUGCGGUGGGAGAAAGGGGGUGAACCGCUUGAAAAAUCAAUAAUGUUGGCAAUUAAACUAAAAAAAAAAACACCUAAUAAGAUUUUCCUUUUUUACAAGCAACAAUUUCGCUUGCACACGCACACACACAGACGAAGCGAGUCACGCACCCACGCACACAGACAAAAUGCAGACAACGCGCACGAAAAAGACAAAGGCGAAAAGA